ACGAGUUAGGGCCUCUGGCCCGAACCUCCAACCCUUUGUAUCAAAACCUCGUUGCCUCGGGGAGGCCCUGCCUCACGGCUGGCCCCCCGAUGGACCACUAAACUCUGCAUCUGUAUGACGUCUGAGUAAAGAUUUUAAAUUAGAUCA
rnacentral:misc_RNA from 1 species